rnacentral:tRNA from 1 species
AGAAAUAAGAAAAUCAAAAAUAAGCUUCUAACUUAAUUUUUAAGCAGUGAAAUUCUGUUUUUAUUUCU